ensembl:lncRNA
GUAGAACUUAACUGAGUACAAAUGGCCAAUGCAAAAGCAAAAGAAGUUUUGCUGCAGAAGUUUCUCAUUCCUACCGCUGCAGCUCUCUGUGUUACUGCAACCAAAGUUUGUGGGAGUCUCUCAGUGAACAAAAGCUCACCCCUCAGUCUUCCCCCUUCAGGCUGUAGACAGACUCAGCCAAAAUUUGUGUUAGACCUUUCCCAAAGUGCCUGAAGUCAUGGCCUCAUUGCCAAAAGCCCUAGAUCACCACUGGCAAAUGUGAAGUCUUCCCAAUUUUUAUUUUUUAAAUGGAGCCUAGAAUGAGGCAGGUCCCUAAUUCAGGUGUAUCAUUAGAAGAUCAGUGUUAGGUCAGAUGAAUUGGAGCCUCAUUCUUCAAAUGCACAGAACCACCAACGUCUACCAGCACCAACUUGUAUUAUUUAUCCUUCCCAUACCUGAUUCCUGACAUGUGGGUAUCAGGGAACGAGGAGUACUACACAGAGCCCUGGUCAAGGAGGUCACUCUGGGCUGGCCAGGGACAGUGUGAAUCAAUGCCAGUGGCAAACAGAGCGGUUCUUGGCAGUUCGUGCCUAAAAUAGGCAGUUCUUUCCUAAAAUAGUUCUGUUCUCCACAAUUACUGACUUUUUUUUCCUUUUGGCUUAGUUAAGAAAAAAGAUUGUUAAGUUAAAGCAAGAGGAAAGGAGCAGACCCUUCUUGUAACAAAGCUGUAAAACUUCACAUCCUUCCCUUGGAUCUACAACAGGCUGAAAACUAGACUGGAUGCCCACAGUCCUACAGAUGUAACUGACUGUGUUUAAUCAGGAAUUAAAUGAAAAAAUGACAAAGGUGACUUUGAAGACUGGGAGUCUUGAAGUCUCUGUUCAUGCAUCAUUCAGUGCUCCAAUAGUAUAUAUCUCUUUUUUUUUUUUUCCCUGCAUUAAUAGUUGCUAGUUUCCUUGUGCAAGAUUUACAGGAAUUUGGUAUUUAUUUAUCCAAAAGAUGAGAUCUAUACCAAAAAUACAGAAAUAAAGCCCAGAGUGCAAUGCCUUCUGAACUGGUGGAACUGCAGCAUCCCUGGGCUGUUUAGAGAGUAGGACUGCAACCUGCAGAAAGCAGGCAGAACUGAAGACAUGGGCUAGAGUUCACAACAGGGGGUGAGCAUCACUCCCAACAACAAAAUACACUCCAAAUGUUCUAUUACUAGCACAGAAAAAAAUGCUUAACAUAAGAUUUACCCACUCACUUACCACUUGCUCCGUGAUAUCUUAAUAAGCCAAAUUCAGUAUUGCUAAUGAUCUCAGCAUUGCUAACAUAGAAAUGAUCAUUUAAAGGACUGGAAAGUGAAGAUCAGCUCAGAUCCCACCUGACACUCCAGUGAGGCACUUCAUCUCUGUGUGCGUUGUCUCAUCUUGUGACAUUAGAUUGUAAGUCCCCAGGACAGUGUUCCUUGUUUGGGAUCAGUCAGCAGGACUAUGUAAAAUCAUACACCACAAAUAAAGAUAAAUUCACAUCCCACAAAUAAAGGAGAAUGUUGCCUGCACUGCACUGACAAACUUAAAAUGGUCAGUUUGGCUUAAUAAUUAUUAAAAAUAAAACCAGAACUUCCUCCCUU